CUCUGUUUCUACUCAAUUUUUCCUCAAUUCCACUCUAUUUGAUCCAUUUUUUUUCUUUUUAUUUCUUCUCCAUUUCUAAUCCCCUUUUUAUGGGCCUUUUUAACAACUAACCCAAAACUCAAAUCACACACUGCAUUCAACCACAUACACCCCCACUACUUCCAUACAAUUACAAUAUAUAUGCAACAGGAAGCUUAAAUACUCAUUGUUUCCUGCAUAUCAAUUUACACAUCUGGAAGAAGAAAAUAAAAUUACGACAACAAUACUUGGGGCAUCAACCCCUCGUCUCAAUAAUUGGGCUAGUAUUUAUAUACAAUUUAACGAUCUAUUCCAAUGCCAACAACGAUAUUCAGGGCAUCAAUCCCUCGACCCAGCAACGGGGCCACAGCAAAACUCAAUCCCU
rnacentral:lncRNA from 1 species